UGGGGAAUAUUGGACAAUGGGCGAAAGCCUGAUCCAGCCAUGCCGCGUGUGUGAAGAAGGUCUUCGGAUUGUAAAGCACUUUAAGUUGGGAGGAAGGGUUGUAGAUUAAUACUCUGCAAUUUUGACGUUACCGACAGAAUAAGCACCGGCUAACUCUGUGCCAGCAGCCGCGGUAAUACAGAGGGUGCAAGCGUUAAUCGGAAUUACUGGGCGUAAAGCGCGCGUAGGUGGUUCGUUAAGUUGGAUGUGAAAUCCCCGGGCUCAACCUGGGAACUGCAUCCAAAACUGGCGAGCUAGAGUAUGGUAGAGGGUGGUGGAAUUUCCUGUGUAGCGGUGAAAUGCGUAGAUAUAGGAAGGAACACCAGUGGCGAAGGCGACCACCUGGACUGAUACUGACACUGAGGUGCGAAAGCGUGGGGAGCAAACAG
rnacentral:rRNA from 1 species